CUUCAGUGACUUCACACUUUUCUCUAUCUGUUCCAUGGUCAUUCCUGUAUUACUGGGCAUGGCAUUGUGGCCAGUGGUGUUCUGGUAUCCCCCUCUGUUUGGAGAUGGUUUCAGUUUCAGUUUCACUCUUUUAUGCUGUCACACACGUAACUCAUGCCUUCACAUUUAGCUCUUCAUGUUAUAUAAUUGUAUUUCUUUACAUUAUUAUAGCCUACUCAUAUGGUCUUCAUGAAAAUGUUUCUUUAGCACAUGGUACAAUAUAAUUACACAAUGUACAAUACAUCAAAAUAUUUUUCCUUGUUCAACUUUUUGGCAUACUGUAAAACACACACCGAUUUUUGUAAACUUCCUUAUGAAGAACAGGACCUAGAGAGAGAGCAGAGAAAUGGAAGAGUUUGUGUAGGAGCCAUUUAUAUCCACCUUUAGUUAGGUUAAUUUAGUUAUUACUUAUUUUAGCCACUUGGGAGAGUAUUGCACUGGGUGUGGCACGUCACUGUAAAUCAGGUAUAUUUACAGGCAAUCAAAUAGGCAAAGGUGUGGAUGGCGGGGACCACACGGUUCUUACCGUAGCCGUGAGCACCCACUCCACCGACAGCACGCCACAGCAAUUUAUUUAUUAGCACAACAGCACUUUAUUAAUCAGCACUGGGCAAAGUACCAUUUUAUGUAAGACCUUUUGAUAUCUUUAUAAUAAACGGGAACACCAUCCAAAGAGAGCUAAUGCCUGGACCUAGGAUUCUUUCUGCUACACGUUGAGAACACCAUGCCAUCCAUGCCGAGGCUUAUAGGAUAGCCUCCACAGUUUGAGAGAGAGAGAGAGGUGUGAGAGAGAGAGAGAUUGGAUGCAACAUAAAACAAUUAUCAUUUUCGAGUCCUUAUUAAUGCCAACAUUUUACAUUAAUGAAUCUCUCGGUGUGCUUGGUUUUCCGGUGUGAGCAGUGUAUGCUGGAUAUUUCUCUUACCCUUCGCUUUCAAGUAAGCUCGCGGAAAUUCUCAAGGGGUAAGACAGAGAAUUGGGAUUGGGCCUAAAGCUGCUCCCCCACUGCUCCUCAUUACUCUGGUUGAUCUGAUGUAAACUAUGACCAGCAAGGCACCAAUCAGACUUCCAAAGAUCAUGCCAACAGGAUCCUCGUACUCCAUCAGAUGUCCCCAGAAGUGACGCUAAAAGAGCUCUGAUGACGGCCAUCAGUAUGACCCCAUGACUUCAUGGACUAUCUGAGAAUUGUCAUGAUCUACUCAUGGUAACCACACAUCACUGUCUGCAGGUCAACCAUGUCUCUCUCA